UACAUGUGGGGCAAGCGUUGUUCGGAAUUACUGGGCAUAAAGGGUGCGUAGGCGGCUUGUUAAGUCAGGGGUGAAAGUUUUCGGCCCAACCGGAAAAUUGCCUUUGAUACUGGCGAGCUGGAGUGCGUGAGGGGUGACCGGAACGAGUGGUGUAGCGGUGAAAUGCGUAGAUAUCACUCGGAAGGCCAACGGCGAAGGCAGGUCACUGGUGCGCAACUGACGCUGAGCACGAAAGCGUGGGGAGCAAACAGG
rnacentral:rRNA from 1 species